rnacentral:rRNA from 1 species
GAGCACGCGCGUGUGGCAUAUCAAUAAGCGGAGGAAAAGAAACUAACAAGGAUUCCCCUAGUAACGGCGAGUGAAGCGGGAAGAGCUCAAAUUUGAAAUCUUAAAGGGUUUCCCUUUACGAAUUGUAGUUUAAAGAAGUGUUUUCUGUUGGAGUUUCGGUAAAAGUUCUUUGGAAUAGGACAUCAUAGAGGGUGAGAAUCCCGUAUUUGACCGUUACUUUCCAGCUGUGUGAUACACUUUCAAAGAGUCGGAUUGUUUGGGAAUGCAGUCCAAAAUGGGUGGUAAAUUUCAUCUAAAGCUAAAUAUUGGCGAGAGACCGAUAGCGAACAAGUACCGUGAGGGAAAGAUGAAAAGAACUUUGAAAAGAGAGUUAAACAGUACGUGAAAUUGUCAAAAGGGAAGCGUUUGACACCAGUGUUGUUUAGUUGAAAAUCGAUUAAAUAUUUUUCGAUUUUAAGUAGUAUUGACCUUAUCAGCUUGCUGCUUUUUUCUCGGAAAUUAUUUAAUGCACUUUUCAGUUAACAAGUCAACAUCAAUUUCUUUUGUUGUAAAAAGGUAAGAGGAAGGUGGCUUGCGCUUCGGCUCAAGUGUUUAUAGCCUUUUACCCCUGCAAUCGGAGAGAUUGAGGUCUGCAGCGUAGAUCCUUCGGGGUUAGAUACAGUUUGUGCUAAGUUAUAGCUUUUCAUAGACAACUUGUUGACUAUGUUUAGUCUUGUAGCUUACUCGCUGAUGCUAUUUUACCUACGCUUAGGAUGUUGA